CCAUCAGUCUUAUUUUCCCUUCUUUUCUAGCCACCACCAACAACCAUUGCUACCAUUUUUCUCUCCUUCAUUUCCUCACUCAUUUCUCCAUUUUCUCUCCAAACCACACCUCACCUUAAGACUUUGUUAAAAUCGUCAUGGAAACAACCUCCUAAGCCCAAUUCCUCCCUCAAUUUCUUCAAAUUUCAAUUUAGGAUUCCAUAGGUUUUGGUGUGAGAAAAUGAAGCUAGAGAGAGGAAGCUUCACCAAGGUAAAAAUAGUGUUUUCCUAACUCUCCUAACAUGAUAUUUAAAUUUAAUGGUGAUGAGAAAACUUGGAAAUUUGUUGUUGAUAAUUUUUAUAUGUAUUUUUUUGAUGUAUGGAAAAAUGUUAAUGAUGAAAAUAGGGUUUCCAAGCUUGAUUGACGAUGAAUUAGAGCUUAUGAAGGCUCGGAUAAAUGUUGUAGAGCUUCCGUUAAGGUAAGUAUCCAUGGAUCCUCUUACUUUUUUUAUGUUAUUUAAGUUAUUAAUAUGAAAACAGUGCAAUAACCAUGAGAUUUAUUAUAUGAAUAUAUAUAUAUGAAAUGUGUUAUUAUUGUGCGAAUGUAUUUAAUAUGUCAGUUGAAUAACUUGGUUAUCAACAUUUUGUAAUAAAAUAAUUUUAGACAGUAAUAGUAGUUUGACUUUGAAAAUUCACCAAAAAAUUGUAGAAAUUGAAUUAGAAGUUGAGCCAUAUAUGUGGUUUGAAAUCUUAUUAAGUCUAGUUUUUAUUGGAACAAAUGAAAUUUGCAUCCGAAUUAUUGGAAUAAAUUAGCAAACCAAUUUAGCAGUUUCUUAACAAUGAGGAUUGAAAACCUGGAAGGCUAUGAUAUCCAUACUAGCUUAUCAAACUGGUUUGCCAAUUUGGAUGCAUUACAAGAUUAUGACCUAAGAAUUUAUACUAAUGCAACAACAAUCUCUAGGCAAUUUGAAAAAGUCUAAAUGCCAAAAUUUUCUCUGAAAUCGACCCUAAUCACACCCAAUGGGUUACCCUUACGACCUACUAUGCCUAAACUAUAUUCCAUGCAUUCUGAAAGCAUAACCAUUGAAACAAUUGGCUUUACCUAAUUGAUAGGAUAUACAUCCCACGACCCGGAUGUUAGACAAGACAUCAGAGUCCAAUACUUAGGCUUUAGUUAUUUUAUCAUUCACUGACAGAAAUUCACAUAUUACAUGUGGAGCAACGCACAAGAUGGUUGUGUUACAGAUGCAUUUUUCGGACAAACUUAUGCGAGUUGUAGGGUGCGCAAAAGUGGAACGACAAUAGAUGAUGUUUAAGGAAAUUGGUAUUUUUAUGUUAUUAGGAAUCAAUUUUAUUAUAAUAUUAGGAAAGUAUAAAUAUUUUAAUUAUGAGUAUUUCUUAUUUUCUUAGAAGUCUUUCCUUAGUAUAAUUACUUUCUUAGCAAGCCUUUUAAUUUCAAUUAAACUUUGUAAUCUCUAUUUAAGAGAGAUUUGGGGAAGUGAAUAAUACAUAAGAGAUUAAAACAAUUUUUAUGAAAUUUAAGAUUCUCUCAAACGAGUUUUAAGGUCUAGAAUUUCCUUCGACGAGUUCCACUUGUUUAACAUAGGUCAUUCACGAGGAAAAGGUGAAAGAGCCCUAACAAGAUAGACGGAUUGCAUGUGAAUCGUUCGGUGACAAGAUCCAUCAGUUAGGGCAGUAAAAACUUGAUUUCAGAGUUAGAAACAAUAGCAGUUAUUAUAAGAGAGGAGUUAGAAUCAUUUAAAGCAAGAAUAGAGUUGAAGAUCGGUCAGUUCAUGUUGCAGAUAAGGGAAUUAAUUGUUUCCAAUCGAAACUUUGAUAGGGAAAAGGGGUUGACAGUAGUAACAACAAUGCUGACAAAAACGGAAGUCGACUAGAGAAAUAGGAAAAUCGAUUAGAGACAGCGAAUGGAUACGAUGUGAUUCCCCAAUACACAAAGUUAGAUUUUCCAACUUUCGAUGGGACAGAAGACCCUCUAAUUUGGUUGUACCAAUGCGAGAACUUCUUUGCGAACUAGAGGACAGUUGAAAUAGACAAAGUCUAGCUUCUUUUCACUUGAUAGGAAGGGCACAGUCGUGGUAUUAUCAAAUAGAGCAAGAAUAAACUAAUCUUUCACGGAGGCAUUCAAAUUAUAUUGUACUCUACGGUUUGGACCACCGCUGCACGAAAAUCUUUUGGAAAUUAGCAAAGUUGAAUCAAAUAGGAUUCGAUAGAAUAUUAUCUUUGCUAAUUUCAAGAACUGUGUGCCUAAGUAGAUUUCAUUAGACCAGACUAACAAAUUAAUUUGUUUAUUAUAAGGUUGUUAGAUUCAAACCAAAUAGAUGUAGAGAUGCAAAAACCUGAAAACUUAGUUCAAGCGACGAAUUUGGCAUGAACCUUUGAAAUAAAUAUCAACUAACUCGAGCAACAUGCCUACGAAGGACUUCUUGGCAAAAUUAGGGACCCAAUUCGAGAAUAGUAUCAACUACAACCACUAGAAAGGUUAACUCUGAAGGGCAGCGUCGCACUAGCAAAGGGGCCCGGUGACAGUAAAGCAAACCCACCAAUUUCCAAAAGAUUGAAUCGCACAGAGAUGGUUGAAAUGUCAAAAAGUCAUUGUUAUAAUUGUGAUGAACCAUAUGGGAUGGGACAUCGUUGUAAAAGGCUAUUUGGUUAGAAGUAGAAGAUGAAGGCGACCCCAAUCUGAAUUCAGAAUAAGACAAGAAACCAAAAAUCUCGCUGCAUGCGAUCACUGAAACACAAGAUCCUCAGACUAUGCAAUUACAAGCCAUAUUAAAAUAUCAUCUCAUUUUGGGAUUAGUUGAUUCCGGGAGUACUUAUAACUUUACUAGUGUCAUUGUGGCCAAAUGCUUGGGGCUGCCAAUCCAAGCUCAAUCAGGGUUAAGUAGCAAUGGCCAAUGGAGAAAAGGUCAUCAGUUCAAGAAUUUUCCUAGAGGUAACAUUUAUAGUUGACAAUAAUUCUUUUGAGACUAAUGUUUUUUUUAUUCCUUUGGAUGGUUUCGAUGUUGUACUAGGAAUAAAGUGGUUGCAGACUUUGGGGCCAGUAGUGUGGGAUUUUGUGGCUUUCACUAUGAAAUUCUCAUUGGGGGAGAAAUAGUCACACUACAUGUAACGACCUGAUUUUUGUUGGUAACGAAAAAACCCGAUUCAAGGUUGAAUUCCUUAAAUCAAGCUGUUAAAUAUUUCAAACUGAAAAACUAGCAAGUCAAAUGUGAGAUUAAUAAAUAGAACCAAAUAAUAAUUAAAUAAAUUAAGUUGUUUUAUCAAUAGUACAGGGACUUGAUUAAAAAACAAGGUUAAUGGGAGAACUUGAUUACAAGACAUUAAAGGGCUUUAAUACGUAAUUAUAAUAAGGAUUGGGGAGUACUUAAAACCAUUUUAAAUUUAUGUUAAUGUUAAUUAUUUAUCAUGUCAUCAUUUUCCACUAAAGUAACAACUAAACAUGCUUAAUUAUUUAUCUAAUGGGUUAAUUAAGUUAAUGAAGUGUUGAUUACUUAUAUAUAAUUAGCAGGAGAGAGUGUUAAAGGAACAUUCUAUCGUCUUCUCCAUCACAGUACAUGCAUGAGAACGAAAGAAAAUAGCUUUGAGUUUCUUCCAUUGCCGUCCUUCAAUUAAGAGAAUAAACCAAAGACGACGUUGGACGUCAAAAGUGAAAGGAAAGGAAAAUGUGAGUGUUGAAUAGAUAUUGUGGUUUGUGCUUCUAAAAUUCAUUUUCAAUAAUCCAUUUGUAGAUCAACUAGUUGUUAUAGACGAACAUGAAAUAAAUGUCGACGUAACCAGAUCUUUCCCCAAAAACUAUGAGAUGAUUUAUUGAUACUGUGAUUGACCAAUCAAUUUAUGAAUGGUUGAAUUGUGCUUUAUAAAUAUAUAUAUAAAUAAUGGAAUUUCAUACCAUGUUAGUAUGUGUUAUAUUGAUAAUAAUGAUGACCGUGCCUCGUUAAACAAUAUUAGACAUAGUUCGGGUAUAGUAGGCAUGCUAUAAGGUCACUGAUAUCAAUCAUGUAUUAGCUCCAAUUCCUAGAGGGUCAUGAGCAACCCCAAUUCCCAGAGGGUCAUGGACAUAUAUCAUCAUUCAGAUUGAGUAGUCCCAAUUCCCAAAGGAUCGUGGACUUACUCAUUAUUAUAUAGAUUCGAGUAUCCAUUCUAAUAUAUGUCGUCGAGUAAUAGAGGCCGAAAAUAGUAAGUAUUGAAAAUGGCAGUGAAUGACAUGUUGAAAUAUUGAAUAUAAUAUGAUAUGAUCUUAUGAAAUAUUGAAAUAAGUAUUAAAUGAGAAAAUUUGGGGAUUAUGUGAUUAAUGAUUUUGUGAUGAGUGAAAAAAGAGUAAAGUAAUGAAGUUAAUAUUAUAAUUGUGUAUUUGAUUCAAUUUAAUCUUAUUGUAUUGAAUUUGAAUUUUAUUAACAAUACUCAGUGUACAGUUAUGUUUGUUUCUGUGCGCAAGUCUCAAAUGAGAGUUGACAUAGAUUAAAAGUAGUCAAGCAUCCAACUAAACAGCUUUGCUUGAAAAUCAAACUGUCACCUAUUUUGUAUGUAUAUAUGUGUUUUGGUUAUAUGACAUGUACAUAGGUUGUUUCGGGAUUGUUGCUUAAGUUAAUAUUUUGGUAUAUUUAGUACUUGACCUAUAAAGUUAUAAAAUUGAAAUGUAUCUUUUGAUUAGUAGAUAGCUAUGCUAGUUUAUACAAGUUUGAUUAUGUGAAUUAGUUGGUUGAAUAUUGAUGCAUUGAUCAUGAUGAUGUUUGAUUCUGUUUACAUGUGUUGAAUUGAUGGUCUUACAUUGAUGUAAAGUUUAGGUAUGUGUAAGGUACAAAUUGGUAUGGUUUGGAUACUUGAAAAUGUGCAUUUAUGGUCAUUUUACCAUUGAGUCUCAAGACUAUUAGAACAAAAUUUACCUUAAUGUUUAACUAAAUGCUUAGUGUCUUGAGACUUGUCACACUUAGUCUCGAGACAAUUCCUUUUAAGUCUCGAUACAAUUGCCCUUUGUCUUGAGGCAAAGAUAAAUUGAAGCUAAGUUAGUUUUACCCUGUUUCAUGUCUCGAGACUCAAACAUCGAAAGUAAAAUAAAAAAUAGGGGAGAUCGAUCUCAAGACCAAUUCUUGAGACAUGAGGAACCUUGUCUUGAGACAUGGAUUCUAAUGUCUCGAGACAUACUAUCGUCGAAGAAAAAUUUCCAAACAUAUAAAGUGUCCUAUCUCGAGACAUGGAGAUCAUGUUUAAAGAUAUAUAGUUAAAACUAGACAAUUGCGUUUGGAUUUGUGUUCUAACUCUCAAAUUGAUUUAAUAAUAUAACUCCAUAACUUGGUUAAAAUUAAACUGAUAGACAUUAUGAAUGCAUAUGUGUGAUUAUGAUGGAAAAAUAAAUUGAUAUGACUUGUAAUUAUACAUUGAGUGUUAUGUAAUUAGUUAACUUGAGUUGUUUUUGCAACGUAAUGUGACAUCACUCAUUCGGAUCCGGUGAAUGGAUCGGGUAUGGGGUGUUACACUACAAGAUGAUAAAAAAACACAUGAAGUUCAGAUCCAUUUCGUAGAGGAGACCAAAAAUUCAAAUCAAUAGUUGGAUAAAUUUUUGAAAGAAUUCGAUGACUUGUUCUAAAAGCCAACAGGACUACCAUUUAUCUGUAAUUAUGAGUAUUAAAUUUCUUUACCGGUUGGAGCCCAACCCAUGAUGAUUCAACCCUAUAGGUAUCCAUACCUGCAAAAAGACGAGAUAGAAUGACAAUGUGAACAGAUGUUGAAACAAGGCAUAAUUUGACCUAGCAACUCGCCUUUCUUUUCCCUGGAUUUAUCAGUUCGAAAGCAUGGCAAAACAUGAAGGUUUUAUGUUGAUUAUCAUGAGCUCAAUCCCAAAACAAUAAAAGAUAAAUUUUCGCCACUAGUGGUAGAUGAGUUACAUGGGGCAAAAUACUUCACCAAAUUAGAUCGUUGAUCAGGUUAUCAUCAAAUUCACAUGGAACCCAAUGGCUUUGAGAAAACAACAUUUUGCACCCCUCAUGGUCACUUUAAGUUCUUAUUAAUGCUAUUCAAAUUAACUAAUGCCUCCAUUGACAUUUCAAGCCCUUAUGAAUGAGGUAUUUCGUAAGCACUUACGUCACUUUGUUCUUGUCUUCUUUGAUGAUAUUUUGAUUUAUAUUCAAACAUGGCCUGAACAUUUAUAUUAUAUCCAACUUGUUUUUGAAUUACAAAGAGCUCCUCAUCUUUGUUUAAAGAAAUCUCAAUGCUCUUCUGGGGAAUUCCAAGUGGCAUAUCUAGGACAUGUUUCUAUGGAAGGUGUUUCAGUUGACACAAGCGAAGUUCAAACAAUUGUUAACUGGCCUCAACAGCAAUCCAUGACUACUUUACAAGGUUUUCUCGAGCUAGCACGGUAUUACCGCAAAUUCAUUUAGGAAUAUGGCACAAUUGCGACACCUCUCACUCAGAUUUUCAAACGAAAUUCCUUUCAAUGGGCCGAUGAAGCUUUGAUUGCUUUCAACAACCUAAAAGGCUGUGGUUAAUGUUGGGGCUGUCUUACAACAAAAAGGACAUUCCAUUGCCUUCUCGUAAGAUAGCCAAUAAUAAUAUAAAAUUACAGAGAGGGGGUUGAUGAUUUGACUAAUAUGGUGCAACAUUGGCAGCUAUACGUAUGGGGGCGACACUUCUUGAUUAGAACUGACCAUUAUAACCUUCAUUACUUGUUGGAACAAAGGCUAACAACAUCACUGCAACAAUAUUGGAUCUGUAAUGUAAUGACUCGAUUUUCAGUGGCAUCAAAAAAUAGGAUUUCGGAACCCUAUUUUUGUAAAUCAAACUUGUAAUUAUUAAAUAUUAAUAUUUAUGAGGAUGUUAUAAUAGUAAAUUAAAUUUUGGUUCGGUAAUUUUACCGGAUUAGUAGUUAAUUAAGGUCCAAGGACUAAAUUAUAAAAUUCUAAUUGCUAUAGAGUUUUAAUUGUUCAAAGGUUUAAGGACUUAAAUGGAAAUUAACCAAAGGUCUAAAUGAUAAAUAAACCAUUUUUAAAAAGUGGUAGUGGAUGGUAAGGUUAAAAAAUUCUAAGCUUGUUUAACAUUAAACUUAGGUAAUUAAUUAGUUAAACUAAACCUUAAUACAAGUAUAAAUAUUUGGAUGGUGGAAUGAAAAAGAAAAUUUUUUCUCUUCUUCUUCAUCAAAUGGCCAUCCACCAUAAGUGAAUGAAAGAAUAAAGCUUCUAAGGGUUUCCAACUUUCUGCCAUUAUUUAGGUAUUGUAAUCAAGUCCCUUUCUUGUAAUUUUUAUAAAUUUGAGGUCAUGGGAGAUUGAUUUAGCUAGCCCACGUACCAAUUUGUAAAACUUUUAAAGUUUUUGAAAGUUUUCAUUGUUGAUUUCUUGAAGAAUUGGGCUUAAAAUUGAUAGAUUUAAGCUUAGAAUAUGAAAAGGACUAGAUUGUAAAGUUAAUUUAUCUUAUUGUUAACUUUAUUACAUUAGGGACCAAAUUGAAUAAAUGUAAAAUUGUUAUGAGUUUAUGUUAGAAAUAGAAAUUUUAAGCUUCCUAGUGAGAAUAUUUGAAAUUGGAUUUUAAUCCGAGGCUAGGAAUUGAAAGUUAUAACUAUUCCAAGUUUAGAAACUAAAUUGAAUAACGUGUAAAAUUUUAGGGAUAUUAAAAAAUCAAGUUAUAUGGGUUCAUGCAUAUCAUAGCAUAAAAUGGAGAUAUUUGGUAUUGAUUAAUGUUUUAGAUCAAGAAUCAGAUCUGAGUGGUGUCAAUCAGGGAAAAGUUCAAAUUAUGAAUUAGUCCCUAAAAUAUCCACUUUACGUAUUUUGAACAAGUAAGUUCAUAUGAAACCUACCACUCUAUUCUAUUUUAUGUAUGAAUUAUACUUGAAUUUAUACUUAUAUGUUAGAGUUGAGUAGAAUUAGUGAAUUUGACACACAUCUCGAAAUAGACUGAAUUGUAAGUUCAUGUAAAUAUCGACUACAUGGAAUUAAUACAUGACGUAAAUGUGAUUAUGAUUGAUUAUAUGACUCGAAAAUGAGAAAUGAAAUUAUAUACAGGAAUUGGUAUUGACAAUUAUACGGAAAUGAUGCCCGAGUGAACUUGGUAAAAUAUUAGGAUAUGUAUGGCAUGUCAUUAGGGUUAUACGCACGAUUAAUCAAGGAUUAUACAUGUUAUUACGAGAUCUAGCAUGAUUUUUAUAUUCUCAAGCUAAUUGUAUCGAAAGUUUAGCCCAGACGAGUAACCUCAAUAUUAUGUUAGCUUGUGUGAGCAACUCUACUAAAAUGUCAGCUUGUAUGAGUAACCCGAAUAUACUGUUAACUUGUGUGAGCAUUAUAUUCCCAUGUAUCUGAGUCCAUUUUACUCUAGUUCCAUCGGGGAUAUUCAAUGGAUUGGAAAUGGAAACUUAAUGAUAAAUUGAAAAUGAAAUGGUAAUUAUUGAUGUUUGAUAUGUGGAUGGUUACAUGAUUCUGUUAAAGUCUCGAUAUUACUUAUGAUUCGAAAAUGUGACUAACACGUUUAUUUGGAGAUGUUGUUAUAUGCUUAAUUAAUUCAUAAUGUGCCAAAUGAUAACUAAGUUUAAUGCCAAUUUGAUUACUGAAUUAUGCCUCAAAUGUUCAAGGUAUGUUUAAAUUUCAUUUUUGAGCUUACUAAGCAUUCCGAAUGCUUAUUCUGGUUGUUUUCCUUCCCUGAAGAUUUUCCACCUUGUGGAACUGUCAAGCCAGAUUAGCUAAGAAGCACACACACUAUCUAAAGACGAUAGUUAUAUGUUCAUUUUAAGUCUAAACUAUGUAGCAUGUACAUAUGAGUCCUAGUAUGCUUGUGGUUAUUUUGAAAUGAUGGCAUUAUGUGUUUGUUGUGAGGUUUAAUGUUGGAUGUAUCCUUUGGUAUAUAAAUUGAUAGUACACAUUUUGGUUAAGUAGUUAAUGUAUGAAUGAUGAAUUUACCUUUAAAUGGUUUGGUAUGUUAAACUAUCAUUUAGGCUAUUUGAAUUGAAUAGCUAAAUAAUGUUGUAGGAAUGGUAAGGUUUAUUAUAAGUAUGUUGUGUAAUUUAUUAUAUGUUUUGACUUUUCAUGUCAAUCUCUUGAAUUGGUGAGUUUCAAUUGGUAAGAUGAUUGUGUUGAAUUGGAAAUUGGAGGCAUAUUGAUAGGAAUAGAUGAAAUGGUAAUGUAUAUAGCUAAAUGUGAAUAAUUAGUUAAUAAGGUAUAGAAUCGAUGAUUUAUUAGUUUAUACAUGAGUUAGUUGUAAAUUGAUUUAGUCAAUGGACCUUAUUUUGCUGAAGAUUGGAUGAAAACAUGUUUGGUAUGAUUUUGAAUUACUUCUAGUAGGUACUAGAUGUGCAUUUUGGCAAAAACAAGACCAACACGCGACGAAAGGUCUUUGGCAUCGCGAUAUCGAUUAACGGUAAGUGAUGUCGCAACGUGGGUAUGCAUAUCAUUGUGACGUGACUCACUAUGAUGAUGUCGCUACGAUGAGGAAGCUUGAGGUCAUGACGUCAACUCAAAAGUUUUAAAAACUUUACACUUUGGUCCUACUUCAUACUCAGGUUAGCAAAAGAACUUUUGUAAGCUCGUGUAAGACCUAGAAAUUAUUAUGCAUCAUGUUGUGCAUACUUUUUAAUGUUGAAUUCAUGUUUAAAUAGUCAGAAAGCAUAUGGUUUCCCGUAGUUGCUUCGACAAAGAUUGCAGCAUCUGGUGACUCAAACCCGGCGAUCAAGUCAGGCAAGGGGUGUUACAAAUAAGUUACUUGAUUUAGAUUUUCGAGUAGAAUAUAAAAUAAGAAGCCUUAACAAAGAAGUCGACGCAUUAUCCCAUUACGAAAAGGUUAGGGAAUAUUGUACGCAGUCAGCCAACCACGAGUAGCACUCUUAGAUACAAUCAUACAAGAAAUCCAAUACAACUCCACCUUACGAAAGUUACGUGAGUGCAUUGAAUAUGGAAAAGUGUAUGACUCAUGCUCAAUGCAUGAUGGGUUGGUUCUCUAUAAAGACCAAGUCUAUUUGUUACUAACUUCUCCAUUGGUUUUUUCGAUAUUAUCGGGUUUUCAUGAUGCGACACACGAAGGCAUAUAGAAAACUUUAUAACAGGUGUACAAGGACUUCUAUUAGAAAACGAUGAAACUAGCAAUUAUUGGUUAUAUGAUAGCUUGUUUGGUGUGUCAAUAUAAUAAGGUCGAGCAUUUGAGCCCAGUAGGUUUGUUACAACCAUUACAAGUGCCGACUAAAAUAUGGGCUAAUGUCUCCAUAAAAUUUAUCAAGGGGUUGCCCAUAUCAUGAGGUAAGACAAUUUUAUUGGUAGUAGUGGAUUGAUUCUCAAAAUAUGCACAUUUCUUACCCAUGACACAUCCAUACACAACAAUGAGUGUGACAAACUUAUAUUUUUCACAAAUUGAGUGAUUACAUAGGAUAUCAGAAUCAAUUGUAUGCAAUUGAAAUGUAGUGUUUACCAGUAAGUUAUGGAAAUAGCUUUUCCAAAUGCAAGGGACCAACUUAGCCUUUUUUUCAGCUUAUCUUCCUCAAACUAAUGGUCAAACUAAGGUUAUUAAUCAAACCAUUGAGAUGUAUUUGAAGUGUUUGGCGAGGGAUUAACCAAAGCGAUGGUGGAUUGGAUUUCAUGGGCCAAGUACUGUUAUAACACUCCAUUUCAUAUGUCAUUAGGUAUUUCAUAUUUCAAGGUAGUUUAUGGUCAUGAGUCGCCUCGCUUAUUGUCUUAUGAAAUUGGUACCUCGAAAGUUAAUGUCGUUAACCAAGCUUUAUUUGACUGUGAUGAGGCCUUGCAGGUAAUUCAAUCGCGUUUUCAACAAUCACAACAUCGUAUGAAGACUUACUAUGAUAAAUGACAUCGUGAUGUUGAUUAUGUUCCUGGUUCUUAGGUAGGGUUACAUUUGCACCCACAUCGAAAAAAUCAAUUCCAGGUAAACAUCGACACAAGCUUGCUUCUAAGUUUUAUGGGCC
rnacentral:lncRNA from 1 species